GGCAGCUCGGUUUGCCGAGAGAGAACUCCAUAACUUUAAGAAAGAAAAUGUAUAUAAAAGCAAAAAGAACCUGCUGAUCGAGGAACACUGCCACAUAGAGGAAAAAACCAUCUCAAUUGUUGAUGCAAAUUUCAAAUCUACAAGAGGAGUUGACUUAUAUUGUAAAAAAGCCAAAGAUACUGAAG